rnacentral:rRNA from 1 species
AUCGAACGCUGGCGGCAGGCCUAACACAUGCAAGUCGAACGAGUGGCGGACGGGCGAGCAAUGUCUGGGAAACUGCCUGAUGGAGGGGGAUAACUACUGGAAACGGUAGCUAAUACCGCAUACCACCAUAUGUGCCCAGGUGGGAUUAGCUUGUUGGGGGGGUAACGGCUCACCAAGGCGACGAUCCCUAGCUGGUCUGAGAGGAUGACCGGCCACACUGGAACUGAGACACGGUCCAGACUCCUACGGGAGGCAGCAGUGGGGAAUAUUGCACAAUGGGCGCAAGCCUGAUGCAGCCAUGCCGCGUGUAUGAAGAAGGUCUUCGGAUUGUAAAGUACUUUCAGCGGGGAGGCGUUACCCGCAGAAGAAGCACCGGCUAACUCCGUGCCAGCAGCCGCGGUAAUAC